CCGAGUUCAUGCCCUCACGGUUAGAUCUCCCACCCUUGUGUAUUCUAUGUUUGUGUUGCUUUGGCAGGCCGUGGGCCUCGCCCACCACCGGCUCUCGGGCUGGUGCGCGCCUGCCAGAGGACUCUUUAAACUCUGUUUGUUAGUGUCGUCUGAGUAUGAUAACAAUCGUUA
rnacentral:misc_RNA from 1 species